AGAGUUUGAUCAUGGCUCAGGACGAACGCUGGCGGCGUGCCUAAUGCAUGCAAGUCGAGCGGAGCACUUCGGUGCUUAGCGGCGGACGGGUGAGUAACACGUAGGCAACCUGCCUAUAAGACUGGGAUAACUAUCGGAAACGAUAGCUAAGACCGGAUAACUGGUUUUCUCGCAUGAGAGAAUCAUGAAACACGGAGCAAUCUGUGGCUUAUAGAUGGGCCUGCGGCGCAUUAGCUAGUUGGUGAGGUAACGGCUCACCAAGGCGACGAUGCGUAGCCGACCUGGGAGGGUGAACGGCCACACUGGGACUGAGACACGGCCCAGACUCCUACGGGAGGCAGCAGUAGGGAAUCUUCCGCAAUGGACGCAAGUCUGACGGAGCAACGCCGCGUGAGUGAUGAAGGUUUUCGGAUCGUAAAGCUCUGUUGCCCUAGACGAACAGCAAGGCGAGUAACUGCGCUUUGUGUGACGGUAUAGGAGAAGAAAGCCCCGGCUAACUACGUGCCAGCAGCCGCGGUAAUACGUAGGGGGCAAGCGUUGUCCGGAAUUAUUGGGCGUAAAGCGCGCGCAGGNNCGGUCAAUUAAGUUGGGUGUUUAAGCCCGGGGCUCAACCCCGGUUCGCAUCCAAAACUGGUUGACUUGAGUGUAGGAGAGGAAAGUGGAAUUCCCGUGUAGCGGUGAAAUGCGUAGAGAUGUGGAGGAACACCAGUGGCGAAGGCGACUUUCUGGCCUAUAACUGACGCUGAGGCGCGAAAGCGUGGGGAGCAAACAGGAUUAGAUACCCUAGUAGUCC
rnacentral:rRNA from 1 species